AACGAACGCUGGCGGCAGGCUUAACACAUGCAAGUCGAGCGCCCCGCAAGGGGAGCGGCAGACGGGUGAGUAACGCGUGGGAAUCUACCCAUCUCUACGGAAUAACGCAUGGAAACGUGUGCUAAUACCGUAUACGUCCUUCGGGAGAAAGAUUUAUCGGAGAUGGAUGAGCCCGGGUUGGAUUAGCUAGUUGGUGGGGUAAAGGCCUACCAAGGCGAAGAUCCAUAGCUGGUCUGAGAGGAUGAUCAGCCACACUGGGACUGAGACACGGCCCAGACUCCUACGGGAGGCAGCAGUGGGGAAUAUUGGACAAUGGGCGCAAGCCUGAUCCAGCCAUGCCGCGUGAGUGAUGAAGGCCCUAGGGUUGUAAAGCUCUUUCACCGGUGAAGAUAAUGACGGUAACCGGAGAAGAAGCCCCGGCUAACUUCGUGCCAGCAGCCGCGGUAACAC
rnacentral:rRNA from 1 species